GGGGCUGCCCGGUUUUGACAGCAGAGAAGUGGUACUGUAAGCAUGCCGGGCGUUGUAAGAGUGGCCCGUUAAUCCCAACUUGCACAGCCUCUAAACGGCACAGAUUAUAAUUACGCGUUAGCCGCUUAAUCAAGGAUUAAGCCGCUUUCUGCUCUCCGGGAAGCUUUGCGUGGCCGCGUUCCGGUAAGAGCAUCACAAAUGCUGCGAUAAGACAGGUGAGGUCCUGGUGCCUGUUCGAAAACCAAAAGGAAUAAGAUGAUGGUUGGGUUGUUUUCUCCCUGCCUUUGUCCGACAACCAACUGAAAAAUAAGCAUGUAGAAAGCUUUAUUGCUGUCUGUUUGGACGCGGGUUCGAUUCCCGCCAGCUCCACGA
rnacentral:tmRNA from 1 species